rnacentral:rRNA from 1 species
GCUUACAGCCAUAUCACAUUAAAAACAUUGGUUUUCGUCCAAUCAUCAAAGUUAAGCAACAUCAAGCCAUUAUAAUACUGAAGUGAUUAACUUAUAGGGAAGUGUAGGUGCUACAGAUG